UAGCAUAUCAAUAAGCGGAGGAAAAGAAACCAACAGGGAUUGCCCUAGUAACGGCGAGUGAAGCGGCAACAGCUCAAAUUUGAAAUCUGGCUCUUUCAGAGUCCGAGUUGUAAUUUGCAGAGGGCGCUUUGGAGUUGGCAGCGGUCCAAGUUCCUUGGAACAGGACGUCACAGAGGGUGAGAAUCCCGUACGUGGUCGCUAGCCUUCGCCGUGUAAAGCCCCUUCGACGAGUCGAGUUGUUUGGGAAUGCAGCUCUAAAUGGGAGGUAAAUUUCUUCUAAAGCUAAAUACUGGCCAGAGACCGAUAGCGCACAAGUAGAGUGAUCGAAAGAUGAAAAGCACUUUGGAAAGAGAGUCAAAUAGCACGUGAAAUUGUUGAAAGGGAAGCGCUUGCAGCCAGACUUGCCUGUAGUUGCUUAUCCGGACUCUUGUCCGGUGCACUCUUCUAUAGGCAGGCCAGCAUCAGUUUGGGCGGUUGGAUAAAGGUCUCUGUCACGUACCUCUCUUCGGGGAGGCCUUAUAGGGGAGACGACAUGCAACCAGCCUGGACUGAGGUCCGCGCAUCUGCUAGGAUGCUGGCGUAAUGGCUGUAAGCGGCCCGUCUUGAAACACGGACCAAGGAGUCUAACAUCUAUGCGAGUGUUUGGGUGUCAAGCCCAGACGCGUAAUGAAAGUGAACGGAGGUGGGAACCCUUUGGGUGCACCAUCGACCGAUCCUGAUGUCUUCGGAUGGAUUUGAGUAAGAGCAUGGCUGUUGGGACCCGAAAGAUGGUGAACUAUGCUUGAAUAGGGUGAAGCCAGAGGAAACUCUGGUGGAGGCUCGCAGCGGUUCUGACGUGCAAAUCGAUCGUCAAAUUUGGGCAUAGGGGCGAAAGACUAAUCGAACUAUCUAGUAGCUGGU
rnacentral:rRNA from 1 species